rnacentral:rRNA from 1 species
UACGUAGGGUGCAAGCGUUAAUCGGAAUUACUGGGCGUAAAGGGCGCGUAGGCGGCACUGUUAGUCAGGCGUGAAAGUCCUGGGCUCAACCUGGGAACUGCGCUUGAUACGGCAGAGCUAGAGGAUGGAAGAGGCUCGCGGAAUUCCCAGUGUAGAGGUGAAAUUCGUAGAUAUUGGGAAGAACACCGGUGGCGAAGGCGGCGAGCUGGUCCAUUACUGACGCUGAGGCGCGACAGCGUGGGGUAGCAAACAGG